CGUCUCUGCCUAUUAGCAGCAGCAACCCCUGCAUAGAUAUAAAUGAAUGUGACUUUGAUCCAUGUGGUCCAAACUCUACCUGUGCCAACACCAUUGGUAGCUACAACUGCUCUUGCUGGAGAGGAUACACCCCAAUACACACAUCUUUGCCCAUUAACACCAGCAAUCCAUGCAUAGAUAUAAAUGAAUGUGACUUUGAUCCAUGUGGUCCAAACUCUACCUGCUCCAACACAAUUGGCAGCUACAACUGCUCUUGCUCAGGAGGAUACACUCCAACAAACUCAUCUCUGCUCAUUAACACCAGCAAUCCAUGCAUAGACAUUAAUGAAUGUGACUUUGAUCGAUGUGGUCCAAACUCCAAUUGCUCCAACAUCAUUGGCAGCUACAACUGCUCUUGCUGGAGAGGAUACGCUCCAACAAACUCGUCUCUGCCUAUUAGCAGCAGCAACCCCUGCAUGGUCAUAACAACCCCUUUUCCAACACCACCACCUACAUCAACAUCACCACAACCAACGACACAAAUAUCAGAAACAACACCAUUAUCUCUGACAACAACAAAAGUAACAGAACCAACACCAACUACCACAACAACACCACCACCAACAACA